rnacentral:rRNA from 1 species
AAUCAACGCUGGCGGCGUGCCUCAGACAUGCAAGUCGAACGAUUAAAGCUCUCUUCGGAGAGUGCAUAAAGUGGCGCACGGGUGAGUAACACGUAAGUAAUCUACCUUCGAGUGGGAAUAACGUCCGGAAACGGACGCUAAUACCGCAUAAUGCAGCGGCAUCGCAAGAUGACAGUUGUUAAAGAUUUAUCGCUUGAAGAGGAGCUUGCGGCAGAUAGCUAGUUGGUAAGGUAAUGGCUUACCAAGGCUACGAUCUGUAACCGGUCUAAGAGGACGGUCGGUCACACUGACACUGAAUAACGGGUCAGACUCCUACGGGAGGCAGCAGUCGGGAAUUUUGGGCAAUGGGCGAAAGCCUGACCCAGCAACGCCGCGUGAAGGAUGAAGUAUUUCGGUAUGU